rnacentral:misc_RNA from 1 species
AUUUAAUUUCUUUUUUCCUAUCUCUUCCUUUGUCAACUAGGCAGUACAGACAGAGAAAAUCUUAGAACAUGGAAGAAAAGGAAUUAGUAAAACAGUUUUUAACUAAUUCUACCAGCUUCAAGCCUCAUAUUUUCUGGAUGGCAAUGAGAUGUAGCAGUAAGAGAAACUACUAAUGGCAAUUAGAGUAUUUUUUAACUGCUAUAAAAUAGAUUCUCCCACAAUGAAGCUAACCUGGAACUCACCCAGCAGGGGCUUCAACAUAAUUCUCACUCAACCCAUUAAAAUUGGAACUAACCUUCCAUUAAAAAGUGUCAAUUAAUGGCAAAAGAAGCCCUUAUAUAUGGCAUAAAGUAGAAGAUGGUAAUACAAGAUUGCUCUCCCCAUAGGCCUUUCUCCGUUCUUGUAAGAUUUUUGGUUUAGGAA